UAGAUCCCACCCCUCUCAUCCUCGCAAGGAUAUCAUUCCAGCAAUUCCUAAUCUCCCCGAAAUCCUGGAUUAAAUCCAUUUCACCUGCCUUCACUAAUCAAGGUCAAGUUAAGACCUAUCUGCCAAGAAGCACGAAGCCUAAACGAGAUGUUUGCCUGAGUUAUUUUCCAGAAGCUUGGAGUCCCCUCUGCCUAAUCGGAGCUGAGUGGGUUAAAUUUGGAUAGAACCACCGACCCUCUAACUGCAGGUGCGUGGGUGUCCACUCUGUGACCUUUUGACGUCAAAUGGCCCCAAAUCCCACCCCUCCAAACAUGCAGAGGCUGUAGCUGAGUGACACCUGUGCAGGGCAAGCACCGCACUUUUUCCAAUAGCCUUCCCCCACGCCACCUGCGCUGGCCACGCCUCCGGCCUCCCCACAUCAUUAUUAGCCCAUAAAUACCCCAGCCCCUGGCCUGCAGAAGGAUGGAUUUAAGGCUUCUUUCGUCUUCUCGUCUGGCUGCCUUGCAAGUGGAAGUCAGAGGGUCUGCCCUGUAUGCUGAGCAGAGCCUGGAACCGCCACUCCUCACCAGUAUCUUUGUCACACGCUUAUUCAACUCGGAACCACACCCUGCAAGAGCAAGGGGAAUGUCUUUGCUGGUUUCUGACCUCCGUCCACUAUUUCCUAAGUUCUUGUAGAACAGGACUUACAGAGGAAGAGAGUCCAUGGUCUAUCUACUUUGGAAAAUGCAGGUCUGACAGCCCUGCCAGUGUCAGCAGUCCCCCACCCCAUGCCCAUGAGUGCCCUGCUCUCGGAGGCCACUGAGCCUCAGGGCCUGCUGUUGCCUCUCUUAAUAUCACCCUGCCCCUCUGUGUCCUCUUACUUCCUACUUGUCUCCUGAGCUCAGCUUGAGACCCCUCAGGAUUCAGUGUGUACCCCAAAUUAAAUUCCCCAUGGAAGGAGACAGGAGGAUAAUCUGUACAAAUCUUUAGCAGAUAUAUUUUUCCAAGCUCAACCUACAGUUCCGGCAGUAUGUUUUUGGACCCUGAGACCAGUGAAAAGGGAAUUUUCAGAUUUCAAAAUCCAUUUAACGGUGCCAUUGAGAUGCUCUCUGCUGCUUUCAACCAGAAGUGAUUAACCUUCAAGGUAAUGACCCAUUAAAAGGAAUCUGCCAAGAGGACAAAAAAACCAGAAUUCUACAAACCACCUUCCAAGCAGUGAAUACGCUCUAUGACAUCACAUUCUCAUGGACUGACCAUCAGUACUGAGCACUACCAAUCUGUGUGAACAAACAUAUUCACAGACAACAUACAGGAAAUCAAUCUCAUUAUAGACAGUAUUUCUGGGUGAACAUUUGCAACCAAUGUGAUAAUGCAGAA